rnacentral:rRNA from 1 species
GACGACGCUGGCGGCGUGCUUAACACAUGCAAGUCGAACGGGGCGAAGUGAUAGCUUGCUAUUAUGGAGCCUAGCGGCAAACGGGUGAGUAACGCGUAGGCAACCUGCCCUUGCAGAGGAUAGCCAUUGGAAACGAUGAUUAAAACCUCAUAAUGCCAGACUGAGACAUCUCUAACUGGCCAAAGAUUUAUCGGCAAAGGAUGGGCCUGCGUCUGAUUAGCUAGUUGGUGGGGUAACGGCCUACCAAGGCGACGAUCAGUAGCCGACCUGAGAGGGUGAUCGGCCACAUUGGAACUGAGACACGGUCCAAACUCCUACGGGAGGCAGCAGUGGGGAAUAUUGCACAAUGGGCGAAAGCCUGAUGCAGCAACGCCGCGUGAAGGAAGAAGGUCUUCGGAUCGUAAACUUCUGUCCUUAGGGAAGAUAAUGACGGUACCUUUGGAGGAAGCCCCGGCUAACUACGUG